AACGUAGGAGGCGAGCGUUAUCCGGAUUUACUGGGCGUAAGGCGCGUGCAGGCGGUUUUCUAAGUCGGAUGUGAAAGCUCUUGGCUUAACUGAGAGAGGUCAUUCGAAACUAGGAGACUUGAGGGUGGUAGGGGAGAGUGGAAUUCCCGGUGUAGUGGUGAAAUACGUAGAUAUCGGGAGGAACACCAGUGGCGAAAGCGGCUCUCUGGACCAUUUCUGACGCUCAGACGCGAAAGCUAGGGGAGAGAACGGGAUUAGAAACCCCGGUAUUCCUAGCUAUAAACGAUGUCAACUAGGCGUAGGGGGUAUCCAACCCCUCUGUGCUGUAGCUAACGCGUUAAGUUGACCGCCUGGGGACUACGGCCGCAAGGCUAAAACUCAAAGGAAUUGACGGGGCCCCGCACAAGCAGCGGAGCGUGUGGUUUAAUCCGAGGCUACGCGAAGAACCUUACCAGGGUUUGAAAUGUUGGUGGUAGUGAAAUGAAAGUGGAACGACCCUUCGGGGGGCCAGCACAGGUGCUGCAUGGCUGUCGUCAGCUCGUGCCGUGAGGUGUUAGGUUAAGUCCUGUAACGAGCGCAACCCUCGUCGCUAGUUAUACGUGUCUAGCGAGACUGCCGGUGAUAAGCCGGAGGAAGGUGGGGAUGACGUCAAGUCAGCAUGGCCUUUAUACCCUGGGCUACACACACGCUACAAUGGCCGGUACAAUGGGUUGCCAAACCGCGAGGUGGAGCCAAUCCCCUAAAGCCGGUCUCAGUUCGGAUUGUAGGCUGCAACUCGCCUGCAUGAAGUCGGAGUUGCUAGUAACCGCGCGUCAGCAUAGUGCGGUGAAUACGUUCCCGGGGCU
rnacentral:rRNA from 1 species